UGGGGAAUUUUGGACAAUGGGCGAAAGCCUGAUCCAGCAAUGCCGCGUGCGUGAAGAAGGCCUUCGGGUUGUAAAGCACUUUUGUCCGGAAAGAAAUCCUUGGCUCUAAUACAGUCGGGGGAUGACGGUACCGGAAGAAUAAGCACCGGCUAACUACGUGCCAGCAGCCGCGGUAAUACGUAGGGUGCAAGCGUUAAUCGGAAUUACUGGGCGUAAAGCGUGCGCAGGCGGUUUGCUAAGACCGAUGUGAAAUCCCCGGGCUCAACCUGGGAACUGCAUUGGUGACUGGCAGGCUAGAGUAUGGCAGAGGGGGGUAGAAUUCCACGUGUAGCAGUGAAAUGCGUAGAGAUGUGGAGGAAUACCGAUGGCGAAGGCAGCCCCCUGGGCCAAUACUGACGCUCAUGCACGAAAGCGUGGGGGAGCAAACAGGAUUAGAUACCCUGGUAGUCCACGCCCUAAACGAUGUCAACUAGUUGUUGGGGAUUCAUUUCCUUAGUAACGUAGCUAACGCGUGAAGUUGACCGCCUGGGGAGUACGGUCGCAAGAUUAAAACUCAAAUGAAUUGACGGGGUCAUAGCUGUUUCCU
rnacentral:rRNA from 1 species